GCCGUCGUGGCGUAAUGGUAGCGCGUCGCUUUCCUACUUCCGCGUCAUAAAGGCGAAGGUUGUGAGUUCGAGCCUCACCGUCGGUA